CCAGUUACCUGGCAGGGGAGACACCAUGAUCAUGCAGGUGGUUUUCCCAGGACGAGGCUCAUCCCUUGCACUCUGGGUGUGCUGACCCCUGCGAUUUCCCCAAAUGAGGGAAACUCAACUGCAUAAUUUGUGGCUAGGACGUGCAGUCUUGGGCUUCA
rnacentral:snRNA from 1 species